rnacentral:rRNA from 1 species
CAGCCGCCGCGGUAAUACGUAGGUCCCGAGCGUUGUCCGGAUUUAUUGGGCGUAAAGCGAGCGCAGGCGGUUAGAUAAGUCUGAAGUUAAAGGCUGUGGCUUAACCAUAGUACGCUUUGGAAACUGUUUAACUUGAGUGCAAGAGGGGAGAGUGGAAUUCCAUGUGUAGCGGUGAAAUGCGUAGAUAUAUGGAGGAACACCGGUGGCGAAAGCGGCUCUCUGGUCUGUAACUGACGCUGAAGCUCGAAAGCGUGGGGAGCGAACAGGAUUAGAUACCCCCGUAGUCCCUGUCUCUUAUACA